GUCACUGUGGCGCAAUGGAUUAGCGCAUUGGACUUCUAAUUCAAAGGUUGCGGGUUCGAGUCCCGCCAGUGAUG
rnacentral:tRNA from 1 species